rnacentral:miRNA from 1 species
UGCUCAGUACUCAGUGUAGAUC